rnacentral:rRNA from 1 species
UACGAAGGGUGCAAACGUUACUCGGAAUUAUUGGGCGUAAAGCGCACGUAGGCGGCUCUAUAAGUCGGAUGUGAAAUCCCUCGGCUUAACCAAGGAAGUGCAUCCGAAACUGCAGAGCUUGAGUACUUAAGAGGAUCGCGGAAUUCCCGGUGUAGAGGUGAAAUUCGUAGAUAUCGGGAGGAACACCAGUGGCGAAGGCGGCGAUCUGGGAAGAUACUGACGCUGAGGUGCGAAAGCGUGGGGAGCAAACAGG